CCUACGGGAGGCAGCAGUGGGGAAUUUUGGACAAUGGGCGCAAGCCUGAUCCAGCCAUGCCGCGUGCGGGAAGAAGGCCUUCGGGUUGUAAACCGCUUUUGUCAGGGAAGAAAUCCCUUGAGCUAAUACCUCGGGGGGAUGACGGUACCUGAAGAAUAAGCACCGGCUAACUACGUGCCAGCAGCCGCGGUAAUACGUAGGGUGCAAGCGUUAAUCGGAAUUACUGGGCGUAAAGCGUGCGCAGGCGGUUAUGUAAGACAGGUGUGAAAUCCCCGGGCUUAACCUGGGAACUGCACUUGUGACUGCAUAGCUUGAGUGCGGCAGAGGGGGAUGGAAUUCCGCGUGUAGCAGUGAAAUGCGUAGAUAUGCGGAGGAACACCGAUGGCGAAGGCAAUCCCCCUGGGCCUGCACUGACGCUCAUGCAUAGAAGGACGGUGGGGUAGGACGAAACGAAGGAGUUAGUAUACCCGUACGGUAGUACCGACCGACCCGUAAACCGAACUAGUCUACUAGGUUGGUUGGU
rnacentral:rRNA from 1 species